CCACCACCACAGUACAUCCAGCACCACCAAUACCCAUCCGGGGCAGUUCCGAUGGGAUCUUACUACCAGAUGUACCCAUCUCAUUCCCAGGGCCAACAUCAUGCUCCUCGCCCACUUGAUCAGCAUAAUUUUGUGUAUUAUAUGCCUCCUCCUAAUAAUCAAGUCCCACCACCUCCAUCUAGUUUAUUCACCGGAGCAAGAACUGUCCAACCUGCAACUAAAACUGAAUCUCCGGCAGCCAUGUACAGAACAGCAAGCUCAGGGCCAGGUCAACAGCAACGUCAGCUUCAGCCUCAGCCUCAAUAUGUUGGGUACCCUACCC
rnacentral:lncRNA from 1 species